rnacentral:RNase_P_RNA from 1 species
GCUUGUCGCCGGCACCUUUUAGGGUGCGGGAGGAAAGUCCGGGCAGCAUAGGGCAUCCCACUUCUGAAAAUGGAAGCUGUUGGCGACGGCAGGCAAGGGCAGAAGAAAACAACCGCCCCACAUCGUGUGGAGUAAGGGUGAGAAGGUGGUGUAAGAGACCACCAGCCGAUGGGUGAUCAUCGGGCUGUGUCCGCUGGGAGCUGCAAGUUCGCGUAUACCAUCGUCUGAGGGCGGCCCGUCCGAAUUAUUACGAUGGAGGGUAGAACGCUGGAGCCGUAGGGUGACUUGCGGUGUAGAUAAAUGACAGGCGCGGCAUUUCGAUGCCGGCACAGAACCCGGCUUAUAGGGGCUCU